AUAUUCAAAAAUUAUAAAUCUUUUAUUACUACUUCCCUCCAUGACAUUUUAGAUAUCUCCAUUUUCCUCCUCAUUCCUUUUACCAGUAAUUUAUUACAAUCCCAUACAUAUGCAUUUGAUUCACCGCAUUAAACCAUAUUAACACUCUCAUUUUAUUCCUAAUAUGUGCUACAUGCACUCUACAGCCGAUUUGGUAAUUUCUAAUCUUAUCCAUUAUCCUACUACAGAGACAUUCCGUAAUAUUCUAAUAGAAAAUAGCAAAAUUUUCCUAUGAAUAUAGGAGGACAUCUAAUUCCCAAAAUUGCAAAUUUAACCUUUAUACCUCAAAACCACGACAUGCAGUAAGCUAAUUCCCAUGUCUACCAGCACAAUUUGUCGUGCAAAUUCAACAAUAAUAGAAUUGAGUAUCAUCCGCAAACAAAUAUUAAUCAAGCAAAAAUUCAACCAAAAGUCGGUUACUUUUUAUACCCAACAACCAAUCUCGCAAACUCUGUCAAACCGAAACCAAACCCAGAAGCAGUAUAAAUUACACAGAAUCAAAUUCAACCAAACCCAGAACAAAUAUCAUCAGAAAGUGCAAAACCAACCAACUUCAUGAACAAGAAGUAAACAAAUGAAUCAGAGACUCGAGAAUUAUCAAAACUUACAUA
rnacentral:misc_RNA from 1 species